rnacentral:lncRNA from 1 species
AUACCUGACUCAGAUUUUUUUGAAGCUGGAUAUAAGUGUCCAGGUAAUACAGUUGCGAUCAUAUUUCUUGAAGAUUAAGAAAACGAACAGCAUUCUAGAGAACCAAUUUGGCUAAUGCCAGGAUGGUCAAAAAUAGAAGCCAUUUCUUUCCUAGGCAAUUGGUGGGUGAUGAAGAGGAGAGAUAAUCCACACAUUGUUUUACUGGUUUGGAAGCAGCUUAAAAAAUGUACUACGAAAUGCAACUUGUUGGACAUUGAGAAGCAAAAAUUGUGCUUAAAAAUUUAAUUAAAAUUUAUCAAAUAUAGAUUAAGUAUUUAUUGUGAAAAAUAGAUUUCUAGUCAUUGUUGUUCUAAAGCAAUGAUGAUACUUAGUAUCUGUUAACACUUUUUAUUGAUGAACUUAUUGUUGAUGUAGGAGGUACCGUGGCAUAUGCAGCUUCUGAAUAUCAAAAUGCUACUUAAAUAGAUGAAAAUCUACCAUAUUAUAAUGGGAACUGCUGGAGUUGGCCAUGUGAGGUUGGACUCCAAAAGUGAAGCCCUGUGGGAUCCAUAUUGUAAAUACACGUGGUUCCAUAAAUAUGAUAUUUUUCCUUCUUUGAAAAAAAUGCCCAUCUCUCUCUCUUAACUAUGAUGCAGUAUCUUUUUCUUCUUUUAGAUAAUCUAAGUGAACCCCAUCUCUCUUGCAGUCUCAAAUUCAUUCUCUCCCUAUCUUCCCCCAUUUUCCUACUUUUCUUAAUGCACACCCAAAGUACUGGUAGGGUUGAAGGCUAAAGUGGAACAUGGAGGCAAAGCUUCCUCGGAUCAUGGCUUAAAUUUAAUAGGAUCAAAAUAUAAUAAAAUACAUGCAAGCGAAAAUGAAAACUACAUAUUAGUGUAUAGUCGAUAUAUCUUGCCGAAGACAAUAUAAUUUUUUCUUUCUUUUUUUUAAAAAUAAGUAAUACAAAGUGAUGGAUAGAGAUAAUUUGAUAAGCUUUGGGUUCUGAUAAAGUUAAGAGAUGCUUUUAUAGUGUUUCAUAAGUGAUGCAUCUUUAGGGCACUUUGGCAAUAAAUAUUGCUUGCUCUCAUACAAAUAUCGGAGUAGAAGUAGAAUGAUGCUUUCUACUGUAACUAAAUGAGAUGGGGCAUUUUGAUAGUGUCCUCUAGUUGCAACUACUUUGUUCUGUAAAGGUCUAGUUGGGUCGAUGUACAUGCAACAAAAUCUGAGUUUGCUGAAUUUGAAAAUUAGGUGGCCCUAAAAUUGAGCACUAGUAGCAAGAAUUUUAAGUAUUGAUGCAUAUCGGGGCAUAAUGGCUGUAGCAUAUCGGCCGGUAAAGUACUGGUAGCUUGCCUCUCCAUAUGGUACUGUAUGCACAUAUGGUAUACACCUUGUCACUGCGGUGCUAGCGCUAAUAGAUGUGUCAUGUGCAUUAUGACAUCAUUCUGGUANN